rnacentral:lncRNA from 1 species
UAGUUUCUUAGUCAUGGUACAUAAGCAAUUCCUCUUUAAAAUGAAUAACAUUAUUUUUUUCCUGUAUAGAGUGGACAAAGGCAACAAAGCAGCGGUGCUACUUACAUUCAGGGUGGGCCAACCUACACUAUCAGCAGCGGUUCUUACGGACAGGGUUCCCGAGGCAGCCAGACCUAUGGUCAGGUCUAUCAGCCACAAGGUGGCACUUCCUAUGGCCAGCAGAGUGGAUUUUCUUCUUCAGGUGGCAGUGGAGGUUGUGGACAAGAGGGCAGCAACCAGAGUAGAACACAUUGUACUGCUUCACAUCUUGCUAUUCCAAGAAGGAUCCAUGCAGCCGAAACAUACCGAAACAGGGAAAUGAAAGGCAGUAGCAGAAGAUCUGUGAUGAGCGAAUCUAGAAAGAUUCUGGGGUAGGUGGUCACACAGCAGUGAUUGUUGGCUCUUUAACGGAUUACCCAAUGUAAUCUUUAAUGUUAAUAUUUGCCAAUCAAGAAGAACUUAGAUAAAUUAAUAGAAGCGUCAGUUGCAAAACUACCUCACUUUUCCACACUGCAACCAAAUAAUCCUGCUUUCAUUAUCUGUAUUUUGAUGCUUAUAAGUAGGUGGAUAUGGAAUAGAAAGAG